rnacentral:rRNA from 1 species
UACAGGUAACGAGCAAGAUCCCUGCCUCUAGUUGCUAACCACCGUUCUCAGGAACGGAGGGGCUAAUUAGAGGGACCGCCGCCCUAAGGCGGAGGAAGGAGGGGGCUACGGCAGGUCAGUAUGCCCCGAAACCCUCGGGCCACACGCGGGCUGCAAUGGUAAGGACAGCGGGUUCCGAUCCCGAAAGGGGGAGGCAAUCCUACAAACCUUACCUCAGUUAUGAUUGAGGGCUGAAACUCGCCCUCAUGAAUAUGGAAUCCCUAGUAACCGCGUGUCAUCAUCGCGCGGUGAAUACGUCCCUGCUCCUUGCACACACCGCCCGUCGCUUCACCGAAGCUGGUUCUUGGCGAGGUGGCGCCUAAUUGGCGCUAUCGAACCUGGGGUCAGCAACGGGGGAGAAGUUGUAACAAGGUAGGC